AACCUUGACAGCGGGGCUGAGUAUUGAUGAGCCCAAGCGUGAGAGCUGGUGAGACCUGGGGAGGUAGGAAUGGGGGUGACGUUAGCUAAUAUGAAGUAUAAAGUCAUGCAGGUGAGGAUGGGGAAGAUAAGCUCCUGCUGCAGGGCUUGUCUGAAGUGGCAGAGGAGGAGAUGUCUGGGGAGAAGGAGACCAUGAGGAUGGGAUGCUCUCGGUGGAUGGGGAUGGGCUCCCCACAGCACAGGGGACCGCUGUGCUCCCCGCACCCAGCCUGGCCUGCAGACAGCUUUGGAUGAGAGGGGCAAUGGAGUGGUCAGAGGAAUGGGAGGGCCCAGGGGAGACAGGAAGAGCUUGACUGGUCUGGCUUAGCAAAGCAGGGAGCGUGAGGGGGACACAGAGCCCCCCAUCCCCAACCAUGCCCAGGUCUUCAGCAAAUUGGCCCCAGUCAAUUUCUAAAUAUAUUCUUCAGCUGAGAUGGGGGAAAAACAGGAUCUGGCCUUUAAAACAAAGCCCUCAGUUUAAUUCCUUUCACAAAAGAGGACACAGCCAAGGGAAGCAGGGCUGGCUGAGCAGCCCUUUGCGGGAAACGGGGUGGGUUUUGUGCCGCCCGCCAGUUUGUUUGUAUUUUUAGAGCGUGCUGCAGGCACGAGGUCAACAAAGUGAGUGAAAUUCCACCCUGGAGCCUGGAGCAGCUCCCCAUCCCUCUCCUCGGGGAUGGGCGGGACUCAACAGCUGAGCCAGGGCUCAAGUGUCCCAGCUGCGGCACUGCCUGCUGAGGCUUAGGCUGGCUGGGUGGCAGGGCUCUGGGUGGAAGAGCUGAGGACCAGCAAGGUGGUGGGCAGAGGACAGCCCUGCUGCUGUUCGCACUCCUAGAAAAGCCCCCUGAGAAUGAGGGUCUGGCAAUGCCAUGCUGGAGACCCUGUCCCAGGGUGGCACAGGGUGCCCGAGGGCUCUCAGUGCAAGUGAUCGCAGUGGGACGUUUGUUUGGUAGGACGAUGGGCACCCCUGCCCCAAGGGAGUUGGGGCCAUGGAGGUGCUGGGAUGAGACUGGGACAAACUGAGGAGGGGUAUGGAGCUCAAAUAUAUUGAGGAGGAGGCCAGGGUGUUCCAUGCUUGCUCGAUGGAGUGAUGAGUUGGCAACGUGGUGAGUCAAAAGCUGAGAAGGGGGGAAAAAACCUAGCAAAUUGGAAUGUGUGGGGGCUUAAAAUGGCACAGCACAUCUUGAGAACACACCUCAGGCCUCUUCAUCAUCUCCAGCAACAAGUGAUGCAAGUGAAGUAUCUCGCUAGGGCUCGAGCUCAACAGUGAGUGAGUCAGGCGGGUGGGAGUCCCACCUCUUGAAUCACCGCUGGCAGCGCUGCUGGAUGCAGCCUCAGCGCUGGGAGCUUCCCCUGCCCGCUUUCUGUUGCAAGAGGUGAUGGCAUCACAGUCUCUGUGGCGUGGCUUCAGGGGAAAAUCAUCUCUUUAUGAGCUAAAGCUGAAAUAAAGAAACUGUCCCCUGGGAUGCUGGCCCAACUGGAAAGCAUAGCAAGAGAUACUCCCAGGAAGAGCAGAAAGUGUCAGAUCCUCGCUUUAAGGCAAGCAAUUUACCUAGCAAUUAGGACAAGCAAGAUGUGCUGAGAGUCAUUGUUUGAGAGCUGCUUCUCACGAGGUAUGAAACAUCUUCCUGUGCUUUUUCUGAUGAUCUUCUAGGAGAUGGUUUUCCCUGCUUGAGCAACCCAAAUGCUUGGCAUCACCUGGUUCAGGUGGCCCAAGCACCCAGUGAUUAUCACACAUGCAGGGGGCUAGUUGCUUUCAUCCAGAGAUACAUACGCUGAUGGGAGUCAGUAGGACCAACCUUCAACCUGUGGCUUGAACCUCAAAGGUAGUGACGAGGAGGCCUGCAUGAGGGAACCAUACCCCAGAAGAAGGACAUGCAAAGCACUGUUGUUAUUGCUAGAAGCAUGACGCAGCCUUUGGCUACCAGGACUGCUGGGUGGCACUUGGUGGACUUGCAUCAGGGAAUAAUGUACCCUGUUAUUCAUGGCCUGUUGUUUCAUUAGCCUUUGAUCUCAGUGGGAUCUUUUUUCUGAGCCACCCUUCCCUGUCAUAGUGGCACAGGAUGAUGUGAUGGGGAGAGGAUGGCUGGCUCUGCAGGGCAGUUGAGUGGGCAGGGUAUGCCUUAUGGGCAUGUGGAGUCCUUUCUGCCUCUCCAUGCUGAGAGCAAGGCUUUCCCUCCACCUUGUACCCACAUCACGCCUCCAAUGCACUACAGUUUUGGGGUGAUUUUUUCUCUCUAAUACACAACUCAGUGCCUGCUGGCACCUCCUGAGUGUCAUACCGCCAGUCAGUGGCUCUGCUCCAGGGCAUCCCCUCUGUUUUUUUUCCAGGCCUUGUUCUCAAAGAUUCAUCCCCUUUUUUUUUCAAAGCAGGCUGUUUCCCCUAAUAGCAAGUGCCCAGCCACCAGCAGCUGAAGGCUCAGUUGUUUUGCCUUAUGCACAAAACUUUCCACUUGUGCUUUUCAUCUUUCCAGCCAAGGGAAGUGCCUGCUUUCCCCAGCCUCUUGCCUGCAGAAGCGUGCGGGAAACGUCUGCCCUCCUGUGUUCAAAGUCCCCUCCAAAGAGAAGCCAAGAGUGCACUGACCUCACAGAGUAAAUAUUUUCCAUGACAUCUCCUUCUGACAUCUCCUUUUGGGCUCUCUACCUAUAGCUGACCCGGCUCCGGGUUUGCAGCCAACCUGCCUGAGCUCCACUGGUGUGGGGGAAGGGGGCUGGGUUCUGCCCUCUCCUUGCUUCCCUACAUGUCCCCAUACAAUGACACUGCCUGAAGGUUUCAGUGACCUCUCUGUUCCUCCUUCCAGGGACUCCGCUGGCAAACAAGGUGGCUUGCGGGCAGCCAGUGCUGCUCCCCAUAGACACCAAAUCUUGCCGGCUUGCUGUGAUGGUUUCUCCAACACCUCCCCUCACCCGCUUGCAGCUAUAACACGUUUGCAGUUAUGGGCUGCUGCCAAGCCAGCUGGGAUGCUGCAGGCAGCAGCCUUAGAGCAGGCGCAAAGCAUCCAUGGGCCAGAGGUGGGAUGCAGGAAGGAUGUUUUGAAGUGGGACCAACUUGUCAGCAGGCAAAGGAGGGGACAUUCAUUGACUCUAGAUCCUUGCUGCUCACCCAGCUGAAUGAGAAGGGGCAGAUGAUCCAACAGAUGUCUUUUUGGCAGCCAGGGAAAUGUUUUCCACUUGCCUUACAGCUUGCCUGGCAGUAGCUUCACAGGAAUGCUUAAGGAUGCCGUGGAGUGCUUGACGGAACCGGGCUUGGACCAGACUGUGACUUCCAUAUGUUGUUGUUCACCUGUUCCAGAGCAAGUGAUGGACCUCUUCCCUCCAUCCUGUGCUCUUGAAGAAAUGUGUGUGUAUGUGUGUUGUGCUCAGCACACGACUACUGCUGCAAACCACAGCACUCUUGCGCUGAAGCAUCAAAUGUGCAGGCUUUCGAUGAGCUGGAAAAGAGGGUGAGCUUACUUGCCCAUGCACAGGGGAUGCACGUAUCGCUGGCAUGUUCUUGCACCUACUUUUUUCUGCUCCUUGGAAGUGACAUGUAUCCUUGCUCUUAAGCAAGUGCUGCGCCUCUCCUUGCAAAUACCAUGGUGGAUCUCUGCUUCUGGGAGGAAGUGAAGGCUGUUACGGUACAUCCCACCUGAAGGUGACAUCUCAGUGUCAGGGGAAAUGGCUCUCUGCUAGGGGUAAUCUGCCUGCUGGACAUCACAGGAUUCUGAGAGGUCGUUUUGCUCAUGUGUUGGAAGCUGAUACAGCUGGAUGUAUAAAUCUUGGCUUUCCCUGAGGCCUGGGUCUUCCCUGGGGCUGCUGCUCUGCCUCCUCAUAUUUCUGGGGAGAGGAAGCUGUGGCUAACCUCACCGCAAACACAAAUUAGUUGGUUUUGUUACUUUUUGGGAUUUUUUUUUUUUGUGUGUGUGCGUUCAGUUUGAACAAUAAAACAUCUGUUCUUGA